rnacentral:lncRNA from 1 species
CCGGGGUGUGCUGGGCCUGGGGCGAGGCCCAGCUCCCUGGGCACUGCGGCAGCUCCUCUCCUGGGCCACAGCAGCCGCUUCUUUUGUCUCUGCUAAAGUUCUGCCAAGCAGUGCGGUUUUAAUGGAGUGAGGGCUGGGGACCGCGAGUAGAAGCUUGGUGGGCACAGAAGCACUUCCCCAGCGUGGACUUUUACUCCUUUUUGACUGCCUUCCCACCUCCUUCUGCCACCAAGGCUGCCCCCACCCUGAGGGAGUCUGUGUUCCCUCCGGUUCUGCCCCUCUCAUUUCCUUCUCCUCCUGCCCACAUGGAAGGUCUCUAGGAGUGCCCAGAGCCACGGUGUGUGGUGCCUGACCCAGGGGACAGGUCUCCUCGGACUCUAUUCAUAAGAAAUAAAGAGCCAAAAGGAGGAAGUCCACCCCAAGCUGCCUUCAAAAGCAAAGAUCCUGCAAUCAGAAGUGGCAGCUCUGUGAGAGCUGAAGAGGAUGUGAGGGAGAAACCAGAGAGCUGUGAUGGAUGCCAGUCAGGCCAGCGAGACUGAAAUUUCCAAACUCAUUUUCAGAGGAGAUGAGAGUGACCAAUCUUCUUGUGCUCAGGUUGGAACAUAAAAUUUGCUGCUUUGACUUAGUUUCCCUGCAGACUAGCACAAAUUAUAGAGCAGAAGGUGAAAAGGAGGAGAAAAAUAUAAAUGAGGUGAGAAAAUGGAAACAAGCAAAGAGGACAGUGAAAGAGUGUGAAGAGAAAGGGGGAAUUAGGAAAUAAACUCAACUGUGCAGAGCAGAUGAAUGCCUUAGGAGGAGAAUUAGUGAGGAAAAUGAGUCUGUUGUGAUUUUUUCGUUACUACUACUGGGAAGGCUCCAGAAAUGACCUAACGAUGGAUGCUGUAAAACAAGCUAUUUCUUGAAGGGAAAUAUGCACUACUUGUUUUAGCAUACGUUCAUGGAGAGCUGCAGAUAACCACUGGAAAUAAGGUAAUGCUUUUCUAGCUGCUGGUGGUACCUAAUCAUCCUCUCUCAUCAGUCUUGUAUCUUUUUUA